AUUGAACGCUGGCGACAUGCCUUACACAUGCCAGUCGAACGGCAGCACGGGGGCUCGCACCUGUUUGCUAGUGGCGGACGGACGAGUAAUACAUCGGUACGUGACCUGCUGUGGGGGAUAGCCCGGCGAAAGCCGGAUUAAUUCCGCAUACGUACCACGGCUGAAAGCGAGGGGCCUUCCGGCCUCGCGCUAUAGGUUUGGCCGACGCAGGAUUAGCUAGUUGGUGGGGUAAAGGCCUACCAAGGCGACGAUCAGUAGCUGGUCUGAGAGGACGACCAGUCACACUGGAACUGAGACACGGCCCAGACUCCUACGGGAGGCAGCAGUGGGGAAUAUUGGACAAUGGGCGAAAGCCUGAUGCAGCAAUGCCGCGUGUGUGAAGAAGGCCUUCGGGUUGUAAAGCACUUUUGGCGGGGAGGAAGUCCUUGACGCUAAUACGGUCGGGGAAUGACGGUACCGGAAGAAUAAGCACCGGCUAACUACGUG
rnacentral:rRNA from 1 species